rnacentral:rRNA from 1 species
UGGGGGAUAUUGUACAAUGGGCGAAAGCCUGAUGCAGCGACGCCGCGUGGGGGAUGAAGGCCUUCGGGUUGUAAACUUCUUUUGCUCUGAACAAGGCGCACCAUGGGGUGUGUUGAGUGUAGGGGUUGAUUAGCGCCGGCUAACUACGUGCCAGCAGCCGCGGUAAUACGUAGGGCGCGAGCGUUGUCCGGAAUUAUUGGGCGUAAAGGGCUUGUAGGUGGCUGGUUGCGUCUGUCGUGAAAGCUCAUGGCUUAACUGUGGGUUUGCGGUGGGUACGGGCUGGCUUGAGUGCAGUAGGGGAGGCUGGAAUUCCUGGUGUAGCGGUGGAAUGCGCAGAUAUCAGGAGGAAUACCGGUGGCGAAGGCGGGUCUCUGGGCUGUUACUGACACUGAGGAGCGAAAGCAUGGGGAGCGAACAGG